GUACAAACUGAGCAGGCGAUGAACCUUAUCUUUCCAGGUUCGUGGGGCCGGGCCAUUUUCGGCAGUGGGUGUUUCACAUCUGCGGGACAGU
rnacentral:ncRNA from 1 species